AUUGAACGCUGGCGGCAGGCCUAACACAUGCAAGUCGAACGAGUGGCGGACGGGUGAGUAAUGUCUGGGAAACUGCCUGAUGGAGGGGGAUAACUACUGGAAACGGUAGCUAAUACCGCAUACCAUCAGAUGGGCCCAUAUGGGAUGAGCUUGUUGGUGGGGUAACGGCCCACCAAGGCGACGAUCCCUAGCGGGUCUGAGAGGAUGACCAGCCACAAUGGAAUUGAGAAACGGUCCAGACUCCUACGGGAGGCAGCAGUGGGGAAUAUUGCACAAUGGGCGCAAGCCUGAGACAGCCAUGCCGCGUGUAUGAAGAAGGCCUUCGGGUUGUAAAGUACUUUCGGCGGGGAAGCGUUACCCGCAGAAGAAGCACCGGCUAACUCCGUGCCAGCCGCCGCGGUAAUUC
rnacentral:rRNA from 1 species